rnacentral:lncRNA from 1 species
AUGGGAGGGGUGAUUUGUGUGGUAAUGAAUUUUCUCUUAUCUCGAUUAUAGAAGGACUUGGUUCUUCUAUGUGUUCUAACUACUACUAUUGCGGAAUAAUAAAUACAGAAAAUAAAGAACACAACGAUUUCAGUUGAAAAAUACCUGGCUCAAAAGUUGAAAAAACCAAAACCUACCUUCUAGUAGGAUUUUAUCAAACUCCACAUUAAAAUUAUUGAGUCAAAAAUUGCAUUUACAAAAUCUCUCGUGUAAACCUAGGAUUUAACUCUAAUCCCGUUGUAGCACACAACCUCAACUGUUACGACAACUUCAACUUAACUCUAACUUUAAAACUCUAAGUUCCUAAUACAAUUGCUUCUAAAUAAUCUAAAAGGUACAAUGUAAAAUCGCCUAUUACAAUUGAACUAGAACAAAAAAUAGAGAUUUGGAACUAGUUCUUCUAUCUGUUUUAAGUAGCUUCAAGUUUGCACGCUUGAAUCACACAUAAAUUGCUUGUAAAAUUGCCUUGCUAUUUUACUCUCAAUUCACGUUUAACUGAUGCUUAUGUGCAUUACCUGUAAAAGAGAACAACACUAACAUUUAAGAAGUUAGCAAUUAGAGAUUGACUAGGAUACUGAUGCUACUCUUCCAUGGUGGAAGAGUUCUAGUUUAUCUCAUACACUAACUCUAUCCUUUUCCUCAACUAUGUUCUCUUUGUGUAAGGCAUCUUUUUCCUUAUCCAAUAUGCAACCUUUUCGAUCAUGAUCAGGAUAUAUCACUUCUGAUAAGUUAGGCUUGUCUCCUACACGUGCAUAUCACAUGUUUGAGUUGAUCAUGACUGUGCUUCACAAGAUGGAGCUGGUCUAUGUUUGAGUUUCUUUGUCAUUCUUCAAAACUUCACCUUUACUUAGGCCAAUAGAACCAUAGCAAUGUAAAAUUUUGUGGUUCUAAAGGAGUAUGGUGCAAUCGUUUUUAAGAAUAUUAUACAGAUUUUGUCCUACUCUAGAUAUGUUAAGGCUAAGCCCUUCUUACAUUUGGCAUGAUCUAUACGACAUGAAUGAAAUAAGAAAAUACAUAACUUUCAUAAAUGACUCUAUUCAUAAAAGCAUUAGAGGUGCCUAUGUUCUUGAUUCUCCACGUGUUCUAUUAUUCUUUCAUUUAUUCAUGAAUCUCAAAAAGUACGUAAGUUGAUAAAGUUAACUAAGUGCUAAUCAAAGGAAAAAUCGUCUUAUGACACAAAAAAUAUAAUUUUAGUAUAUAUAUAUUAAUCAAAUGUCAACUUUGAACAGAUUUUGUUAUAGUUAUCAGACAAUCAUUGGUUAACACGUAAACAUAAAGUUUACAUACUACAAACUAUCAUAGGAAUAAUAUAAAGGAUCUUAUACUUUUUAAUCUUAAAUAUAAAAUUUACAUAAGAGAUGUUUAUUACUUUUAUAUAUNNNNNNNNNNNNNNNNNNNNNNNNNNNUAUAUAUAUAUUGUUUAAUAAAAAAACGCAAUUUGGUCAAAACUUGAAUUUUAGAGAUAAAAAAUCGGGUUACUGAUAAUCAAAGAGACCAAAAUAUAGUUGGCUUUCAAAGAAUAAGAAUAAAGUAAUAAGAACUUGUUAUUUCAAUAUGGUAUCAAGAGUGUACUGCGUGUCUAUAAAUGAUAAAACUUCCUCCUUUAAUAGUUGACAAGGAGUAACAGAAUAAUCUAAAUAAAAAGGAGCAUUUAAUGAGACGUUACAUAAUCAUUGCUAUUAAAUACUGAUUAUCUAACGUAUCAGGUAUUUAAUAAUGAAUGUAGACUACUUUUUGUCAUCAAAUUCUUGUCUUCAAUGCCCUUUUUUCCGUUGAUAUUGGAUGAAUUGAAUAGACACGAGACUCGUAUCUAAGAUUCCCUCUCGUGCCUAAUUUCUUUUCCUCCACCUUGCCUGUUGUCUUCCGUGCCUUUUAAUCAUUUGUUGUUCUUUGACUAUUUGACCAAUCCACGUGUCAUGCCACGUCAUCCUUAAUUCAAACUCAAUUUCCCCAAUACAGAUAGUCCCCCCACUUCUCAUUUAUUUAUCAAUUAAAUAAUUGGAAAGUAUAUCCUGAAAAAGAUUUUUUGUCACAAUUAAUGCUUGUGUCGGUAUAGACGUCUCAUCUGUCUUUCUCAUUUAAUGCUCUAUACACGUGUCAUCUUAUGGUUGAAUCUGUAGUUUUGUUCCCAUUUUUCUAGGCCUGUUCAACUUCCUCUGUUUACGAAGUGCUGGUUAUCUUUAAUAUAGACUUUCCAUCAUUUCUUCCAUUAAUUUUGACGGUUGUUCUCAUAUAAACCUCUAAUUCACACUUUCCUUGUCCUCUUCUUCAUCAAUUUCUGUCAAGCAUUUGCAUUUUCUUUCUUUCUUUCACUUCAAAGUUAUCUUACAAUGGCAUAUCCAAACCCUGACUCCAGAAAGGUUUUACUUCUCGAUCAAUUCCAUAAUGCACCUGUUCCUAUCAAACAUUGAAGAGGCCGAUGAGGAAGACUCCGAAGUAUGGGAUCUACACGGGGUUGGCUCAACUGGUUCUGUACUUCCUUCUUCUGGUUCUGGAAUCAAAGGCUCCUCUUCUAAAACUCAAUCUUCGAAAGUUAAAGAAAUUUCAGACCCUUCUUUAGAACCCACAAUCGAAGAAAUUAUACCAAACGGUUUAUCUUUUGCAAGUGAUAAAUCAUCCCUUCAAAAACAUAUUGCAAAAUUGAAAAAGACUGAUCAUUAUCCUUCUCUUAUAACUGAAUUUACAGUCCCUACCAUUAAGAAAGAUUGCAACUGGAAGGAGAGCGUUCGUUUAUCAAUCCCUUCUAUAAACAAUAGAAUUUCAUCUUAUAGAAAUGGGUAUUCCUAUGUUUAUACCUUCCCCUUCACUUUGGGAUUUAAGCAUGCCAUAGACCCAGUUAUCAUUGAUUUUUGUAGAUUUUCCAACAUUUGCUUAGCCCAGAUUGGACCUUUAGUUUGGAGGGUUGUAGCUUGUUUAAGGUUUUUGUCCAAUAAGGCAAAAGUUACUUUUAGCUUCCCCCAUCUUAUCCACUUAUACCACCCUAGUUUAUUACGCCAUGGGGUUUUUACCUUAACUGCAAGGAGUAAAAGAGUUUUGGUAAACGCCGAUGACGAUAAAGAUCGAGGGUGGUAUCUUCAUUGGUGUUCGCACAAUGGUUUACUGGGAGAAUCGAACAUUCCCUUCUCCGAGAUGUGGAAUUUUGCACAUAAGUUUCCGUUUUACUUUUCCCAUACCUAUUUUAUGAGAUUUGGAUUUUCUCUUUAAAUUUAUCCCCUUUUUGGGUUUUCUGUAGCAACCACUGGAGAUGUGGAAUCCGUUCCCAAUUUUCGUGGUUGGAUAGACUCAAAUUUGAAAAUUGCUCCUAUAGAAGAUAGGACUUGGAAAUCUAUCUCUUCUUUACAUAGGUGGACAGUGAAGUCACACGGUAUAUAUAUUUCUUUUCAUGUAUGCUUUCUAGAUACGUAUACUAAAUUUUGAUGAUGAACUCAAAUGCUUCUUUUUAUCAGGAUUUGGAAUAAAAGGGAUGACAACAGACGUUGCUAUAGCCAUGCGUACUACUACCAACACCGCCCUUGGCUUGGACAAGGCUAAAGCACUCUUAGGCAAAAGAAAAGCUAUGAUAUUGGAAACUAAUAACGAAGAAGAAGAUAAUACCUCUUUGGUAUCUAGAUCAAGAGCUAGGAGACGUGUUGUUAUGGAUGAGGAAAUUGAAGAUUCUCCUGCCCGUAUCUCUGCUGCAAUUGCUUCUUUUUCAGUUACUUCCAUUACCGAUCCUGUCUUAAUACAAUCCGAUGAAGAUCUUGCUCCUAGAGACACGAUGAAUCUGUUCACCGUCUCUUCGAGAGUGGUUUUGAAAGUGGGGAACUUGGCCCCCUUCUCAAUGAAAUUUCCCUAUGUACUUCCAUUCCUAUUUCUCCAGUUUCUUAUAUUUCUCCUUCAACAGUACCUGCUUCUUCCCCUUUAACAUCUUCCACUGUUCUUACAACUUCUUCUCUUGUUCCUUUUUAGCCCUCGUGCCUAUUCCCUCAGCUCCUGUUCUGGUUUCUGCCGCUCCUAUUGUUGUCACCCCCUCUACUACUCCUCCUUCCACUAUUCCUUCCUCCUUUGUUCCUCAUUCUGAACCUGGCCCAAACAACAGAGGUACGACUGUGAGAAAGGUUACUAUUGAAGUACCUGCUAUUCAUAGUCUUUUAAGGAAGACAGGUGGAGCUGAUGUCUGGCUCGAGCCUCUUAUCGGAGAAGUGGAAAGAACAAAGAUGCAGAGCCAUAGCUGCUACACCUUGAUGAAUGACAUGGUUCAUUCAACACUGAAGGUACAUUCCUUACCCGUGAUUAUUUACUUUUCCUUGGCCUUUAGUUCUUAUCUUUAUGCGUUAUGUAUGUAGGCAAACUUGAACGGUACUGAGUCGAUUUCAACACUGAAGGUACAUUCCUUACCCGUGAUUAUUUACUUUUCCUUGGCCUUAAGUUCUUAUCUCUAAGCCUUAUGUUUACUGGCAAACUUGACCGGAAUUAAGUUGAUGGGGAGGAUCUAUAUUUUAGAGAAAAUGGCACGUGAAUCUACUAAGGCUGCUGAGGAUACUAAAAGAAAAUAUGAAGAAGUCCAGCAUGAGGCUCAAUAUUGGAAGGAACAAUUCGAAGGUGCUUUAGGGAGCAUUGAAGAGUUGCAGUCUUCUAAGUUUCAACUUGAACAGCAAAAUCGGGCUUUAUCCUUAGAAUUAGGAUUGCCAUGGCUUCUACGAGCCAAGCAAAAAAGGAUAAAGAGAUUUUGAAGGAUUCUUUGUCAAAGGCUACUGAAGAAAUCAAAGAACCAAUGGAGAAAAAUGAAGAAUAUGCCAAAGAACUAGUGCAAUCUUUGAACCAGACUCGGGAUCACUUGAGGAUUUUUUCAGAUAAGGUUCGUGUGUUGGAGAGUUCUUGUGUCAACCUUCAAUCUUCCCUUUAUUUCUACUUAGCUGAGCAUGAAAAAAUGAAGAAAACCUUAGCUACGUGGGGAAGAGAUUAUGAAAAUCUGGAGAAGGGUUACAAUUCCUUUGCUGAGAAUUUCAAUUAUGAGGUUAACUGGGCUUUCUUGAAAUCUCGUCGUGAUGCUUUAAAGGAGGCUUCUCAAGAAAGGUUUGACUUGCAAUCUGAGUUGGCCAAAGUUUUAGACAUGAUUGAGAAGAAUGAGCAACCUACUGAAACUCCUUCUCCUGAUCAGGUAAUUGACAUCUCCUCUCCAACAGUUGAAACUCCCAGGGUUGAAGAGCCUUUGAACUUAGAGUCAACAACUGAAGUAUUGAAGUUAUAGUUCCAGUGACCGGGGGUACUUACCUACGACACAAUCUUUGGGAAUGGAAAUCCCCGUGUCUACUACUUCUCUCGAGAAUGUCGAUACUUCAACUUUAGCUGAGACUGCCUCUAUUGCUGCUCCUUUGGAAGUUUCUACCGAGCCUAAUGAGGGUACGACUUCUAGCGUUCCAAUUUCCUCAGUGACCAGUGAAAAUGUUUAACCUUACUUCUUUUGUUUGUUUUUCGAUGAUGUAAUUUCUUAAUGAAGUCCCCAAUUUCUAUAACGGGGCAUCUGUUUUGAAAAACAAAUGUAUUGUAAUAGCUUAACUUUUUAUGUUGAGAAGUUUGUAUAAUACUUCUUUAUUUUAUCCUUGUCUAUUCACUGUUCUAGACUUUGAAGGAUAAUUUUAUUAUUACCUUACUCUUGCCUAUUUUUCUUUUUAGGACUUAGAGAAUAAGUUAGCAUUUUUAUCCUAAAUAAUUUUAUUUUUACCUUACUCUUGCCUAUUUUUGUUUUUAGGACUUAGAGAAUAUGUUAGCAUUUUUAUCCUUUUCAGGAAAUGCUUUCAAAAUUCUUCUCAUGUGUUAUCAUCAUGAGGAAAAAAUAAAAGAGGGCCCUUUUAUUUAUCGACACUUGAUAAAAAAGACGUCUCAACUUUGUAAUGGUGUUAUCAUAUGAUGAAAGAAAUAGGAACAUAUACGUUUCAUAUAAAAUAACUUUUGUAAAGUAGUUUUUAUUCAUGAACUUUAAUAAGUUUCUUGAGUAUUGCAUGUAUUGAACCACAUCUACAACUUUUUCGCAACUGUUUUCUUUUAACAGAUUUACAAAAUAUACAAGGUAAGGUUUUUCAUAACCUGUUUCUGAUACAUAGUCAUGUCCUUGCCUUUACAUACUAAGGAAGGGUUUAAGCAAUGACUUCAUUGUUCUGAGAAGGAAAGGACACUAUGAUGAGUGCUUUUAGAUUGAUACUUUAAUGAUUAAUACUUGAAAUCUCGUAACUUGAUUUGAUAUGUAAAUUUUGAAUUUUGCUCUCUCGUAUCUAUUUCUGUACAUACUCGUAUGUAUAUAGUAUAGUUCCCCAAGUGUUUGAGCGGUGAAGUAUGAAGCCUCGAACACUUGUGUAUUUGCUCUCAAUUUUUGGUCCUUUUCCUGAAAUAGAAAAAUAUACGGGACUCGGAGGUGCGAUUAUAGAUGUUUGGUCCUUUCCUGAAUCAAAAAAAUAUAUCCUGAAUCAAAAAAAUAUACGGGACUCGAAGGUGCAUUAUAGAUGAAGAAUGCCUAACGCGUGUGUAUUUCCAUCAGAUUAAUGUAACCCUGGGCUAGGAAUUUAAGAGUAUUCCAUUUUGCUGUGCAGGCCGUGACUCAUCAUUUGGCACGAGUUAGGGUUUUUGCCUAGCAUCUAAAAUCGCUAGUAUAAUUUUAACAAUUCAAAGGAAAAAAUUGAACAUGGUGAUACCAGACCGUGGGUACUUCCUUAGAAGUAAUGCCUCUUUAAAUGAACGGCAUUCCAAUGCGAAGGUAAAACUUUGCCAUCCAUUGUCUCUAGCUCGUAUGCUCCUUUUCCCGAAAUUUCAUGAAUUUGAUAAGGUCUUUCUCACGUUGGACUUAGCUUUCCUGUGUUGGCUAACUUCGUAGAUUGGAAAACGUUUUUCAACACGAAGUCCCCAACUUUAAAAAACCUGAGGCGUGUUUUCCUAUUAUAAUAUCGCUCAAUUACUUGUUUUUGAGCCGCCAUCCUUAUCAACGCAGCUUCUCUUCUACCUUCAAGUAGAUCAAGAUUUACUCGUAACUCUUCGUUGUUCGAGUUUUCCUCUGCUUGAACACGUCUGUACUAGGUUCACCAAUCUCAACUGGUAUCAAAGCUUCCGCUCCAUAAACCAUUGAAAAUGGUGUUUCUCCUGUACUUGUUUUUGCCGUCGUUCGAUAUGCACAUAACACCGCUGGUAAUACUUCAGGCCAAUUGUCUUUUGAUUCUUGUAACCUUUUCUUUAGGUUGUUAAUAAUUACUUUGUUUGUAGACUCUGCUUGCCCAUUAUCUACUGGAUGAUACGGUGUCGAUGUAAUUCUUUUGAUUUGCUAACUUUGAAAGAAUUCUGUGACUUGAGCUACUAUGAAUUAUGGUCCAUUAUCACACACUAUCUCCUUUGGAACUCCAGAGCGUCAAAUUAUAUUUCUCCAAAGGAAGUCCUUAACUUCUUUCUCUCGUACAUGUUUAAACGCUCCUGCUUCUACCCAUUUAGUGAAAUAAUCAGUAAGAACGAGUAGAAACGCGCUCUUGCUUCUACCCAUUUAGUGAAAUAAUCAGUAAGUACGAGUAGAAACUUUACCUGACUUUUUUCCUGAGGUAAUGGUCCUACGAUGUCCAUUCCCCAUUUCAUGAAGGAACAUGGAGCUAUGACAGGAUGAAAUAACUCAGCUGGUCUAUGCAUGUUAUUUCCAUACCUUUGACAUUUAUCACACUUAGAUACGAAAUCAUUCGUUUCUUCUUCCAUUUUAGGCCAGUAAUAUCCCGCUCGAAUCAAUGUUUUUACAAAUGAUCUACCUCCUGUAUGAUUUCCACAAUGCCCCUCAUUUACUUCUCUCAUCACAUAUUGUCACACCUCAUUUUUUCGCUAUACCCCCAGCAAAGGGAGCGUAAAGGAGUUUUUCAAUUAAAGGACAAUCGGAACGGAUUUGAUUAUUAAAGAUUCAGAGUUGCCACUUGGGAGUUUUAUGGUGUCCCAAGUCACCGGUUUAAUCCCGAACCGAGGAAAUGAUUGACUCUGUAUUACAGUCUGCGAACAAGAAAUCUGGAUAGGAAAUUCUGUUAACCCGAGAGAAGGUGUUUGGCAUUCCCGGAUUCCGUGGUUCUAGCACGGUCGCUUAAAUAUUGUAUUUGAUUUUAUCUGAUUUUAAUACAUGCUAACUUAUGUGCCUUUUAUUUAUAUACCGCNNNNNNNNNNNNNNNNNNNNNNNNNNNNNNNNNNNNNNNNNNNNNNNNNNCUAACUUAUGUGCCUUUUAUUUAUAUACCGCUUUUACCAUUAUUUAUUUUAAAAGACUUGCGACGUCGUGAAAACACGUCUCUGACCACGUCGCCAUCAUGGCACCCGUGGUCGUCAACACAUUUCGACUUCGUCGAGAUUUGGAUUUGGUUCGCAUCAAUGCGCACCCGAGUUUAAGAACAUAAAUUAAGUAAAUCGUGUUUAAAGGUUCUAACAUAAUAUUGUUUGGGAAAUGCCUUUGAAAUUCACUAAACGGCCCUUCCGAAUUCUAAUCAUUUUAAUAACCAAAUAUUAAGGGCCUCACAUUUAUUUUUGUUCGGUGAGGCUCGUCUCGAUUUUUUAACCCUUUUUUAUCAUUAUUUAUUUUAUAAGAAUUACGACGUCAUGAAAACGCAUUUCUAACAGGGUUUCCAUCAAGGCACCCGUGAUUAUCAACACAUUUCGACUUCGUCGAGAUUUGGAUUUGGGUCGCAUCAAUGCGCACCCGAGUUUAAGAAAAAAAUUUACUUAAAUCGCGCCUAAAGAUUCUAACGCGUUGUUAUCUUCGCGAGGGCCAUGAAAAUUUAACUAAUGGUACACCUUGAUUUCUAAAGAGUUAAAAUUAAUUAAGCUAGGGCCAUGUAUAGAAAAAUUAUUGUAGAAAGAGGGUAGAUUUCAAUUAUUAGAAUUAUCUAUGUGGAACAAACUUUAUUGAUUAAGAAGAUAGACAAGCUGGAAUAUUAUUGAUGAAAUGAAUUUCAUUUAAAUCAUUGACUUAUUUACUUUCCUAUUCUAACAAGUUCCUAGAAUACUCUUUUUUUUAAAUUCCAUCUAUUUAUAAAUGUAUAUGGAGGGAUACGAGCAACAAAAUAGAUAAAGAACAUGAAUAAGAUGACAUACUAGACAUCAAACUUAUUUUCGUCCAUGUACUAAUAAAACUAGUACAAGGAAAACUAUCCAAAAGAGGAUCAACAGAUAAAAAAAACAAUCCAUUCACUUUCUCAAAACUUCCACUUGAGCAAAUAAAACCAUCAUUUCAUUGAAUUGAUUAUAUUUUACCAUUUAUCUAAGAACAAAUUUCCUAAAUAAUUCAAACCAAACAGGCCGAGCAACAGUACACUCUCUUACUCAUAUCCACAUAUUUUCCUAACUAAGAGAUCAAAUUUUUUACAAACUUUUCAACAUCAAAUUUAGAUUCUUCAUCAAAACCAAAAAGAAAAUCGCAAUACCAAAGCAUAAUACAGUUGAAACCAAAAGUACAUAUAAAACGUUUCAACAACAAAUUUAGAAUCUUCAUCAAAACCAAAAGAAAAUCACAAUACCAAAGCAUAAUACAGUAGAAACCAAUAGUACAUAUUUAUUAAAGAGCUGAGAAAAGCUAAACAAAACAGACCCAAAUGAAAAGGAAUAAGGGACUUACGAACUUUUGAAAAUUCUCUUGUAAAUCAAGACAAGGACAGAAACCGGGAAUAAUAAACCCGAAGCCAGAACCACCAUCGGUGACGCCGAACGGAAUACCUAUCUUUUGGUUGUAGCAAGAUGGUUUUAUAAAGGGUGUGAGGUGUGGUGUUAUGUGAGGGAGUUUUA